rnacentral:tRNA from 2 species
GCACUCGUAGCUCAGCUGGAUAGAGCACCGGACUUCGAAUCCGGGUGUCGGGGGUUCGAAUCCCUCCGGGUGUACCA